CAGGUUCGAAUCCUGCACGACCCACCAAUUUAAAGGUGGUUACUGGUAGAGAACGUGAAGGAUAACGUUGCGUUAGCAACGGCCCGAAGGGUGAGACGAAGUCCAGUCAUCCUGCACGACCCACCA
rnacentral:sRNA from 1 species